rnacentral:rRNA from 1 species
GAUGAACGCUAGCGGGAGGCUUAACACAUGCAAGUCGAGGGGCAUCAUGGCGUAGCAAUACGCUGAUGGCGACCGGCGCACGGGUGCGUAACGCGUAUGGAACCUACCCACCGCAGGGGGAUAACCCGCCGAAAGGCGGACUAAUACCCCAUGGUUCCCCGACCCUGCCUGGGGUUGGGGGUAAAGCCUACGGGCGGCGGUGGAUGGCCCUGCGUGCCAUUAGCUGGCUGGUGGGGUAACGGCCCACCAGGGCGACGAUGGCUAGGGGGUCUGAGAGGACGAUCCCCCACACUGGUACUGAGACACGGACCAGACUCCUACGGGAGGCAGCAGUGAGGAAUAUUGGUCAAUGGGCGGAAGCCUGAACCAGCCAUGCCGCGUGCAGGACGAAGGCCUUCGGGUUGUAAACUGCUUUUGUACAGAACGAAAAGGCUCUGGUUAAUACCUGGGGCUCAUGACGGUACUGUAAGAAUAAGCACCGGCUAACUACGUCGCCAGCAGCCGCGGUAAGCUAGUCUACG